rnacentral:misc_RNA from 1 species
UCUCCGUAGGUGAACCUGCGGAGGGAUCAUUACUGAGUGAGGGCCCCCGGCCCGACCUCCAACCCUUUGUGUAUCUCGACCCUGUUGCCUCGGGGGCGACCCGGCCUUCGGGCGUCGGGGCCCCCGGCGGACCACUCAACUCUGCAUCUUUGCGUCGGAGUUUAACACAAAUGAAACAAAACUUUCAACAACGGAUCUCUUGGUUCUGGCAUCGAUGAAGAACGCAGC